CUAAGGUAUGCAAGUCGAAUGCCGAUUAUCGGCAUGGCAGACGGCUGAGUAAUACAUGGGAAUCUACCUCAAACUCGAGAAUAGCCCAUCGAAAGGUGGUGUAAUACUCGAUAGUUCCGUUUACGGUAAAGCUCCGGCGGUUUGAGAUGAGCCCAUGUCCUAUCAGGUUGUUGGUAGGGUAAUUGCCUACCAAGCCUAUGACGGGUAGCUGGUUUGAGAGGAUGAUCAGCCAGACUGGGACUGCGAUACGGCCCAGACUCCUACGGGAGGCAGCAACUAGGAAUCAUGCGCAAUGGACGAAAGUCUGACGCUGCGACGUCGCGUGAGGGAUGAAGGUCUUCGGAUCGUAAACCUCUUUUAUCUGGGAACAAGUUCUGAGUGUACCAGAUGAAUAAGUGCCUGCCAACCACGUGCCAGAAGCAUCGGUAAUGCGUGGGGCACGAGCGUUAUCCGGAUUUACUGGGCGUAAAGAGAUGCGUAGGCGCCUUUUUAAGUCACUUGUAAAAUCUCCCCGCUCAACGGGGAAACUGCAAGUGAUACUGAAUUGGUUGAGUCAAGUAGAGGAGAGGGGAAUUCCUGGUGGAGCGGUUAAAUGCGUUGAUAUCAGGAGGAAUACCAAGUGCGAAGGCACCUCUCUGGACUUGUACUGACGCUAAGGCUCGAAAGUGUGGGGAGCAAAACGGAUUAGAUACCCGUGUAGUCCACACUGUAAACGAUCCCUGCUAG
rnacentral:rRNA from 1 species